GGACAGAUGGGAGCUUGCUCCCUGAACUCAGCGGCGGACGGGGGAGUAACACGUGGGCAACCUGCCUGGAAGACUGGGAUAACUCCGGGAAACCGGGGCUAAUACCGGAUAAUUCUUUCCCUCACAUGAGGGAAAGCUGAAAGAUGGUUUCCGCUAUCACUUACAGAUGGGCCCGCGGCGCAUUAACUAGUUGGGGAGGGAACGGGUCACCAAGGCAACGAUGCGUAACCGACCUGAAAGGGUGAUCGGGCCCACUGGGACUGAAAACCGGCCCAAACUCCUACGGGAGGCAGCAGUAGGGAAUCUUCCCCAAUGGACGAAAGUCUGACGGAACAACGCCCCGGGAGUGGUGAAAGUUUUCCGAUCGUAAAACUCUGUUGGUUGGGAAGAACCAGGACCCGAGUAACUGCCGGUACCUUGACGGGACCUAACCAAAAAGCCACGGCUAACUACGAGGCCACAACCGGGGAAAUUCCUACGGGGCAAGCCUUGUCCGGAAUUAUUGGGCGUAAAGCGCGCGCAAGCCGGUCCUUUAGUCUGAUGUGAAAGCCCCCGGCUCAACCCG
rnacentral:rRNA from 2 species